rnacentral:rRNA from 1 species
AUGGAAAAGUGGUUAAAGUUCCGACGGUACAAGAGGGCGUGCGUGACAUUAGCUAGUUGGUGAGGUAAGGGCUCACCAAGGCGACGAUGUCUAGGGGUUCUGAGAGGAAGGUCCCCCACACUGGUACUGAGACACGGACCAGACUCCUACGGGAGGCAGCGGUGAGGAAUAUUGGUCAAUGGGCGCAAGCCUGAACCAGCCAUGUCGCGUGCAGGAAGACUGCCCUACGGGUUGUAAACUGCUUUUGUAUGGGAAGAAACGUUGGUACGUGUACCAAUUUGCCGGUACCAUACGAAUAAGGAUCGGCUAACCCCGUGCCAGCAGCCACGGUAAUACGGAGGAUCCAAGCGUUAUCCGGAUUUAUUGGGUUUAAAGGGUGCGUAGGCGGUAGAAUAAGUCAGUGGUGAAAUCCUGCAGCUUAACUGUAGAACUGCCAUUGAUACUGUUUUACUUGAGUGUAAUUGAGGUAGGCGGAAUGUGUUGUGUAGCGGUGAAAUGCAUAGAUAUAACACAGAACACCGAUUGCGAAGGCAGCUUACUAAGUUAUAACUGACGCUGAUGCACGAAAGCGUGGGUAGCGAACAGGAUUAGAUACCCUGGUAGUCCACGCCGUAAACGAUGAUUACUCGCUGUAGGCAAUACACCGUCUGUGGCUGAGCGAAAGCAUUGAGUAAUCCACCUGGGGAGUACGUUGGCAACAAUGAAACUCAAAGGAAUUGACGGGGGCCCGCACAAGCGGAGGAACAUGUGGUUUAAUUCGAUGAUACGCGAGGAACCUUACCUGGACUUAAAUGUAGAUUGACGUAUCCAGAGAUGGAUAUUUCUUCGGACAAUUUACAAGGUGCUGCAUGGUUGUCGUCAGCUCGUGCCGUGAGGUGUCGGGUUAAGUCCCAUAACGAGCGCAACCCCUGUUGUUAGUUACCAGCACAUCAUGGUGGGGACUCUAACAAGACUGCCGGUGUAAACCGCGAGGAAGGUGGGGAUGACGUCAAAUCAGCACGGCCCUUACGUCCAGGGCUACACACGUGUUACAAUGGCCGGUACAGAGGGCAGCUACUUGGUGACAAGAUGCGAAUCUCAAAAACCGGUCUCAGUUCGGAUCGAAGUCUGCAACCCGACUUCGUGAAGCUGGAUUCGCUAGUAAUCGCAUAUCAGCCAUGAUGCGGUGAAUACGUUCCCGGGCCUUGUACACACCGCCCGUCAAACCGUGGAAGUC